GUGCUCAAUUCAGCAGCACAUAUGCUAAAAUUGGAACAAUAUAGAGAUUGUCAUGGCCCCUGUACAAGGAUGACAUGUAAAUUUAUGAAGCAUUUUAUAAUUUU